rnacentral:rRNA from 1 species
UUGGAGGGCAAGUCUGGUGCCAGCAGCCGCGGUAAUUCCAGCUCCAAUAGCGUAUAUUAAAGUUGUUGCAGUUAAAAAGCUCGUAGUUGAAUUUCGGGAUCAAAUUGUUGGUCGUGCCUCGGUACGCACUGGUAUUAUUGGUUCCUACCUUUUGAAGAACCGCGAUGUCAUUAAUUUGGUGUCGUGGGGAAUCAGGACUGUUACUUUGAAAAAAUUAGAGUGUUUAAAGCAGGCUUACGCUUGAAUACAUUAGCAUGGAAUAAUGAAAUAGGACGUUUGAUUCUAUUUUGUUGGUUUCUAGGAUCGACGUAAUGAUUAAUAGGGAUAGUUGGGGGCAUUAGUAUUCAAUUGUCAGAGGUGAAAUUCUUGGAUUUAUUGAAGACUAACUACUGCGAAAGCAUUUGCCAAGGAUGUUUUCAUUAAUCAAGAACGAAAGUUAGGGGAUCGAAGACGAUCAGAUACCGUCGUAGUCUUAACCAUAAACUAUGCCGACUAGGGAUCGGAUGAUGUUAAUUUUUUAAUGACUCAUUCGGCGCCUUACGGGAAAC